UACGUAGGGGGCAAGCGUUGUCCGGAUUUAUUGGGUGUAAAGAGCGUGUAGGCGGUCUGGUAGGUCCGUUGUGAAAACUCGAGGCUCAACCUCGAGACGCCGAUGGAAACCAUCAGACUAGAGUCCGGAAGAGGAGAGUGGAAUUCCUGGUGUAGCGGUGAAAUGCGCAGAUAUCAGGAAGAACACCCGUGGCUAAGGCGGCUCUCUAGUACGGUACUGACGCUGAGACGCGAAAGCGUGGGGAGCGAACAGG
rnacentral:rRNA from 1 species